rnacentral:rRNA from 1 species
GACGUAGGGUGCGAGCGUUGUCCGGAUUUAUUGGGCGUAAAGAGCUCGUAGGCGGCUUGUUGCGUCAGCUGUGAAAACCCGCGGCUUAACCGUGGGCCUGCAGCUGAUACGGGCAAGCUAGAGUUCGGUAGGGGAGACUGUAAUUCCUGGUGUAGCGGUGAAAUGCGCAGAUAUCAGGAGGAACACCGGUGGCGAAGGCGGGUCUCUGGACAGUUCCUGACACUGAGGCACGAAGGCCAGGGGAGCAAACGGG